AGUGAACGCUGGCGGUAGGCCUAACACAUGCAAGUCGAACGGCAGCACAGUAAGAGCUUGCUCUUACGGGUGGCGAGUGGCGGACGGGUGAGGAAUACAUCGGAAUCUACUUUUUCGUGGGGGAUAACGUAGGGAAACUUACGCUAAUACCGCAUACGACCUACGGGUGAAAGCAGGGGAUCUUCGGACCUUGCGCGAUUGAAUGAGCCGAUGUCGGAUUAGCUAGUUGGCGGGGUAAAGGCCCACCAAGGCGACGAUCCGUAGCUGGUCUGAGAGGAUGAUCAGCCACACUGGAACUGAGACACGGUCCAGACUCCUACGGGAGGCAGCAGUGGGGAAUAUUGGACAAGGGGCGCAAGCCUGAUCCAGCCAUACCGCGUGGGUGAAGAAGGCCUUCGGGGUGUAAAGCCCUUUUGUUGGGAAAGAAAAGCAGCAGGUUAAUACCCCGCUGUUCUGACGGUACCCAAAGAAUAAGCACCGGCUAACUUCG
rnacentral:rRNA from 1 species